rnacentral:rRNA from 1 species
CUACGGGUUGCAGCAGUGAGGAAUAUUGCACAAUGGAGGAAACUCUGAUGCAGCAACGCCGCGUGGAGGAUGACGCAUUUCGGUGUGUAAACCCCUUUUAUAUGUCAAGAAAAUGACGGUAGCAUAUGAAUAAGCACCGGCUAACUCCGUGCCAGCAGCCGCGGUAAUACGGAGGGUGCAAGCGUUACUCGGAAUCACUGGGCGUAAAGGACGCGUAGGCGGGAUAUCAAGUCAGGUGUGAAAUCCUACAGCUUAACUGUAGAACUGCACUUGAAACUGGUAACCUAGAGUAUGGGAGGGGGAGAUGGAAUUAGUGGUGUAGGGGUAAAAUCCGUAGAUAUCACUAGGAAUACCUAAAGCGAAGGCGAUCUCCUGGAACAUAACUGACGCUAAGGCGUGAAAGCGUGGGGAGCAAACAGGAUUAGAUACCCGGGUAGUC